GUGUCAGCCGCCGCGGUAAUACGAAGGAGGCAAGCGUUGUUCGGAAUCACUGGGCUUAAAGCGCAUGUAGGCGGGGUGCCAGGUACCUUGUGAAAUCCCUCGGCUCAACUGAGGAAUAGCUUGGUAAACCGGUACUCUUGAGGCAGGUAGAGGCGGGCGGAACCAUGGGUGGAGCGGUGAAAUGCGUAGAGAUCCAUGGGAACACCGGGGGCGAAAGCGGCCCGCUGGGCCUGAUCUGACGCUGAGAUGCGAGAGCGUGGGUAGCAAACAGGAUUAGAAACCCUCGUAGUCC
rnacentral:rRNA from 1 species